AACUUUCGGCAACGGAUCACUUGGUUCCGGCAUCGAUGAAGAACGCAGCGAAAUGCGAUAACUAAUGUGAAUUGCAGAAUUCAGUGAAUCAUCGAGUCUUUGAACGCACAUUGCGCCCCCUGGUAUUCCGGGGGGCAUGCCUGUCCGAGCGUCAUUGCUGCCCUCAAGCACGGCUUGUGUGUUGGGCUCCGUCCCCCCGGGGACGGGCCCGAAAGGCAGCGGCGGCACCGAGUCCGGUCCUCGAGCGUAUGGGGCUUUGUCACCCGCUCUGUAGGCCCGGCCGGCGCCAGCCGACAACCCAUCAUCCUUUUCAGGUUGACCUCGGAUCAGGUAGGGAUACCCGCUGAACUUAAGCAUAUCAAUAAGCGGAGGCU
rnacentral:misc_RNA from 1 species